GGGGGUAGUUUCCCUUCUGCUCACUGUCACAGACACACAGACGGGUUUUCGGCCAUCGGAGACCUCUCUGAAGGGCAACCGGUGAAUGUCUGGCCACGUUUGCUAAUAUCCGGCGCUGAAAUCUCGCUGAUAUGUCGGGUAACCUUUGGUUUCUUUCUGAAGUGAAGUCCAUUGUUUGAUACAACCAGCUUCUUUGCUAUUACUCUUCCUGUAUAACACUCUUUCCUUAAGGGUCACAGUGGAUCCAGAGCCUGUCCAGGGAACACUGGCUGUGAGGCAGAAAAACACAUUGGAUGGGACGGAGAACCCAAAGGAAACACAUGUGGACACAGGAGCACACAGACGAGCUGAGGAUCAAACCGAGGAGCUGUGAGGUGGCUGUUUAGUUAUCACCAUUUUAUAUAUAUUAAAUUUUAAGUUUCAAUUUUAUUGUCAUAUGCAUAAAGAGUGCUUAAGCAUCUAUAUAAAAUGAAACUCUUGUGCUACAGUUACACACUCCUACCCAGACACAAAAAUGACAGACAAAAGACCUUGCAAAAUUAUUAAUGCACUCUAAACAAGUAAAAAUUAUAACAAAGCGUAAACAUUGUAAACACUGUCACUUUUUGGACUGCAUACAUAGUAGGAGACAUUGCACAUACAGUACAAGGACAGUAUUAAGUGCUAACUGUAAGUUUAUAAAAGGAAAAUUAUAUACAAUUGGGAAAUUAGUCAUGUCAUGUCAAAAGAACACAAAAAAGAAGUUUUUUUUAAUGACCAUUAUAAAACUUACUGAAAAUAUUUAAAGAAUUCUAAAAGCUCUAAAAACCAUUUGGAAAUAAAUGAUAAGAAAUAAAUUAAAGUGUUAUCAGUGGCCCCGAAGUGCAUCUGCUUUUGUUGUUGUUUGAAUAUCUCAGGGCCGUAUUCAAAUUUGCUGACUUAAGUCCAAAAGUUAUGUCAUUAUUUAUGCAGGGAAAGUUACUCUUAUUCAGAGAUAAGCUAGGCACUCAUCUCUAUUUUUUCUCUGCUGUGAAAUGUAAUACCAGGUAACAUAAAAGCAAUUUAAAAAUGAAAAGUAAUAAAGACUAAUAUGAUGAUAUAUGAAUGAGAAGGUUUCAAGCGCUGAAAUAAACAUCUUAUACAAGUCUAAUAUAUUGCCAAUAUGUUACUGGAUGAACAGUCCUAGUAGUAAUUUUCACAUUAAUCACAGCAAAUUUGGCAUAGUUUAACAAUAUGGCUUCCACCUUCAUUAUUCAGAAGCUACUAAAAUAGCACUUGAUCCAGCACAUCCUAUUAUUUUGCAUUUUUUACAUCAGGCACUGACAGUUACAAUGAAGUCACAAGAUACUAAUUGGUUAUGAAAUCAUAAUGUGUGCAUGGAAUGUAGGCUAUUUUAUCACACAUUAAAUUUGCUAUUUUGAUUUGUCAAAUUAAUAAAAUAAUGUCAAAGCUUUUGCUGUAACAAUGUGUUUGUUGUUCCUAGUCUCUGAUUAAGAUACUGUCUCCUCUGUGUGUCCUCUGUGCAAAAAAAGUUGUUGACUUUAAAGUGGUGAUAUUUAAUUACUUCAUCACUUAACCACUUAUUUAAUUAGAAUUGCCCCUUUGUUUUAAUUAAUUAGUUGUGCAAUAUUCAUGUGUUCAAUAUUCGCUUCAUAUGACAUUCUAAAGUGUUUUGAGUGUAUUUACAACAUGCAAACAUAAAUUUUAUCAUGUCAUAUUAAGUCUAAGACCAAGACUACUUAUGUCUUAGGUUUGAAUACUUCUGGUUUGGUGUCUCUGAAUUAACUCCUCAUUAAGUAUGCAUAAUUCAACUCUGAAUAUUCUCUCAAUGAAA